UUUGCAUUUUUUUUCAAUGAAAAUCAGGUGUUUUUCUAUAUUUAAUUUGCUGAUAAUGUACUUUAAUCAUAAUGCUGAGAUUACAUUUGAGGUUUAUCAUACCACAAACAGUGAAAACUUGACCAAAAGUAACUUUCUCAAUAAAAUCUAUUAUUAACUAAACAGACACCGAGCAUCUCCAUCCACUGUCAUUGUUCAAACUCCAUGGGUUUUACUGGUGAAUCAAUGUUACAGAAGAUGAUGGUGUUUCCAUGUUCACUACAGAAACUAUGGAUGCAUCCAAAAACGACAUUUGACACUGCUGAAAAGCUAACAAACUGCAUUUUACUUUAAUUAUUUCCAUCUUUUGAUAGGA